rfam:Tstilago hordei, Th4857-4, WGS project CAGI01000000 data, contig: THOR_scaffold_5.00040
AGACUAGUAGCGGAGUGGUCAAACGCGCGAGAUUUAAGAAAAUUUCAAAAAUUUUGGCGCGAGUCAACAAGCUCCGGACGCCGAGACACAUGCAGUAUGUGUGUAUACCUCUAUUCCUCGUCCUUCGGGUUCGUGGGUUCGAACCCCACCUAGUCUA